rnacentral:misc_RNA from 1 species
GAUGAAGAACGUAGCGAAAUGCGAUAGGUAAUGUGAAUUGCAGAAUUCAGUGAAUCAUCGAAUCUUUGAACGCACAUUGCGCCCGCCAGUAUUCUGGCGGGCAUGCCUGUUCGAGCGUCAUUUCAACCAUCAAGCCCCCGGCUUGUGUUGGGGACCUGCGGCUGCCGCAGGCCCUGAAAACCAGUGGCGGGCUCGCUAGUCACUCCGAGCGUAGUAAUACAUCUCGCUCAGGGCGUGCUGCGGGUUCCGGCCGUUAAAAAGCCUUAUUUACCCAAGGUUGACCUCGGAUCAGGUAGGAAGACCCGCUGAACUUAAGCAUAUCAAUAAGCGGAGGA